UACGUAGGGUGCAGGCGUUAAUCGGAAUUACUGGGCGUAAAGCGUGCGCAGGCGGCUCCUUAAGUCAGAUGUGAAAUCCCCGGGCUUAACCUGGGAACUGCGUUUGAAACUGGGAAGCUGGAGUGUAGAAGAGGGGGGUGGAAUUCCAGGUGUAGCAGUGAAAUGCGUAGAGAUCUGGAGGAACACCGAUGGCGAAGGCAGCCCCCUGGGCUAACACUGACGCUCAUGCACGAAAGCGUGGGGAGCAAACAGG
rnacentral:rRNA from 1 species